AAGUAUUAGUCAAUGCUCGCAAGAGUGAACUAGCUAACUGAAAUCAUAGAAUUUUUUAAAAUUCAUGAUGUCGUAAGGGAAAAUAAUGAUAAUACCUUACUAUGAGUGUUGUCCAAAUCUGGUGCCAGAAGACUCGGUAAGACCAGAAACGCAAACGUUAAUCAUCAUAAACAGGCGUAAAGGGUUUGUAGGCAGCUUUUAUCAGAUUAUGCAUUUUAAAAUAAAGUAGUYUAAUUAAAAGCUAGAAUCAAAAAGAGGUUAUAGUGUAUAACGCCUAGAGGAGGGCUGAUAUCCAUAGAUCCUAGGCAGAAUACUAAGGGCGAAGGCCACUUUCCAUUAAUGAUUGACGCUGAGAAACGAAGGUUAGGGUAGGAAAUAGGAUUAGAUACCCCGGUACUCCUUUCUGUAAACGAUGAAUGGUAGUCAUUAGUUUUUUUYUUAGAAAAAAAAAAAUAACUAGAGACGAAGUUAACACAAUAACCAUUCCGCCUUGUGAGUACUACUGCAAAGUAGAAAACAAAAAAAUUAGUCGGUCUCGAAGCAAACGGAGUGAAGCAUGUUAUUUAAUG
rnacentral:rRNA from 1 species